rnacentral:rRNA from 1 species
GACGAACGCUGGCGGCGUGCCUAAUACAUGCAAGUCGAACGCAGUGGGGACGGGUGAGUAACACGUGGGUAACGUGCCAUCAGAGGACAUACCACUUGGAAACAGGUGCUAACCCGCUACUGAUGGAUCAACCCGCGGUGCAUUAGCCAGUUGGUGAGGUACCGGCUCACCAAGUCCACGAUGCAUAGCCGACCGGAGAGGGUGAUCGGCCACACUGGGACUGAGAAACGGCCCAGACUCCUACGGGAGGCAGCAGUAGGGAAUAUUCGGCAAUGGACGAAAGUCUGACCCAGCAACGCCGCGUGAGUGAAGAAGGUUUUCGGAUCGUAAAACUCUGUUGUUAGGGAAGCGUUAUCUAACCAGAAAGCCACGGCUAACUACGUGCCAGCAGCCGCGGUAAUAC